ensembl:snRNA U6atac minor spliceosomal RNA
GUGGAGUCAUGAAAGGAGAGAAGGUUAGCACUACCCUUGACAAGAAUGGAAGAGGCUCUCGGGCCUUACAACACACAUAAGGUUAAGGCAUUGCCACCUACUUUGUGGCAUCUAACCACAGUUUUGA